CGUACACUCCUACGGGAGGCAGCAGUGGGGAAUUUUGGACAAUGGGCGAAAGCCUGAUCCAGCCAUGCCGCGUGCAGGAUGAAGGCCUUCGGGUUGUAAACUGCUUUUGUACGGAACGAAACGGCCUUUUCUAAUAAAGAGGGCUAAUGACGGUACCGUAAGAAUAAGCACCGGCUAACUACGUGCCAGCAGCCGCGGUAAUACGUAGGGUGCAAGCGUUAAUCGGAAUUACUGGGCGUAAAGCGUGCGCAGGCGGUUAUGUAAGACAGUUGUGAAAUCCCCGGGCUCAACCUGGGAACUGCAUCUGCGACUGCAUAGCUAGAGUACGGUAGAGGGGGAUGGAAUUCCGCGUGUAGCAGUGAAAUGCGUAGAUAUGCGGAGGAACACCGAUGGCGAAGGCAAUCCCCUGGACCUGUACUGACGCUCAUGCACGAAAGCGUGGGGAGCAAACAGGAUUAGAAACCCGGGUAGUCCCAUGAU
rnacentral:rRNA from 1 species